CUGUCCACAAUUGACUCCAAUACCCCCAUACUACCCCAUUAUCCCCCAUUGACCCAUAUAUCCCCUAUUGCACCCCCAUAUCCCCCCCAGCUCCCCCCUGUUCCUCUGCUGCCGGACAUGGCGGCCAAUGACGAUGAUGAUGAAGAUGAAGAUGAUGAUGAUGAUGACGACGACUCCGAGGACGCCCUGAAUGAGUUCGACUUCCUGGGAUCGGGGCAGAACAACGGGAGGAACCGGGGACAGAGCGGGGACAGGGGCGCUGUCUCUAUGGGGCUCCAUGGGCUGCCCGACCUGCGGGACGUGGACGGGAUCGCGGCCACGGGGGGGAGACAAGGUAACAAACCCCAUAGAGACCCCAUAGAUACAGCCCCAUUGAGAACAUAGAGACCCCAUAGAGAACAUAGGGACCCCAUAGAGAACAUAGGGACCCCAUAGAGACCCCAUAGAGCCCCAUUGAUAAUAUAGGGACCCCAUAGAGCCCCAUUGAUAAUAUAGGGACCCCAUAGAGCCCCAUUGAUAAUAUAGGGACCCCAUAGAGCCCCAUUGACCCCAUAGAGACCCCAUAGAGCCCCAUUGAUAAUAUAGAGACCCCAUAGAGACCCCAUAGAUAGAGCCCCAUUGACCCCAUAGAGACCCCAUAGAGAACAUAGAGACCCCAUAGAACCCCACUGACCCCAUAGAGAACAUAGAGACCCCAUAGAGCCCCAUUGACCCAAUAGAGAACAUAGAGACCCCAUUGACCCCAUUGAGAACACACUGACCCCAUAGAGCCCCAUUGACCCCAUAGAGAACAUAGGGACCCCAUAGAGCCCCAUUGAGCCAAUAGAGGACAUAGGGUUUACAUGUUACCAUAGGGUAACAUAGGGUUACCCCCAUUGCCCCCAUUACCCCCUAUAACCCUAUUACCCCUAUAACCCCAUUACCCCCUAUAACCCCAUUACCCCCUAUAACCCCAUUACCCCUAUAACCCCAUUACCCCCUAUAACCCCAUUACCCCUAUAACCCCAUUACC
rnacentral:lncRNA from 1 species